AAGACGAAUUCGCUUGUUCACAGCGUCCUGGCGCCGUAGUGACGCCCUGCCAUCUGGCUUCUGCAAGACGGUGUCUCAAAAAUGGGACGGUCAUCUGAUGACCGGAAAAUGAAAGAGGACGAGCACUUACGAAAAGAAGCAAAAAGAGACAAACGUCUGUCACCGGAAAAUGGAAAUUGUUAGGAUGGGAAUAGAGCGUAAUGAGCUUUUCGUCCGAUUGAUGGACUCAUGAUGGAAAGUAGAAGAAAAAGGAAUAUAAUAAAAGACAGGCAGGAAAGACCAGGUGAGAAUGAAAUAUUGAGCUUUGGAAAGAAAUGACUACAUAAAGAACUUCAAUAAGAUUUAUU
ensembl:ncRNA R10E12.3 ncRNA